AUUUUAUACCGAAGAAGGGAGAGAAUGGGCUCGACGAUCUUCUAGCAACCUGUCGCCACCAGGAUAAGGUGCUAACUCCUACCAAUGAUCAAUUGGAGCUAUAAAAU
rnacentral:ncRNA from 2 species